rnacentral:miRNA from 14 species
UGUGUGUGUGUGUGUGUGUGUGUGUGUGUGUGCUGAGGGUGAAGAGUGUGUUGUGUGUUUUCAGUGUGUGUGUGCUGACUGACGCAGGUUGUGGGUGAUUUUAAACUAUCACCUAUGCACAAUGUCUUCACACACACACACACACACGCACACACACACA